CAGCCGAAACAGAGAAACAAAUAGAGACAUCAUAAGCAUAGCUGUACUUUAGGACAGACCAGCCUGUGAUCUCCUAAGACACCCAGAUUCACCCCUGGUCACGAUCUGUCCCACACCUGUGUCUCAUCACAGUCCAUCACCAGUGUCUGCACCCUGCAUACUGCCAAUAUUAUGGAUUUCUGUUCUGGAGAGAGAUGCCAUUCACAACAUAAUCUCUACACAAUAUCAAACUCAAAUAAUUUAGUCUUGCCUAACAAUUUCCCUGAUUUGUUACUGUUCACAAUGUAGCAUGGUCUUGCCUACCUUUGUCCAUUCAGUUAUUAAAAUGUUUUUAAUAUUUGUAUUGAA